UUAAAAACAAGGCAAUAGAACGAUCUACAAGAUGGGUUUUCCCGAAGCUGCCAGUUCUUUUAGAACUCAUCAAAUUGAGGCUGCUCCAACCAGCUCUCCAGGUGAUGGAUUUAAGGCAAAUCUUGUCUUUAAGGAGAUUGAGAAAAAGCUUGAAGAGGAAGGGGAACAGUAUGUGAAGAAAAUUGGUGGUAUUUUUGCCUUCAAGGUGAAGGAUGGCCCUGGGGGUAAAGAAGCCACCUGGGUGGUAGAUGUGAAGAACGGCAAAGGAUCAGUGCUUCCUAACUCAGAUAAGAAGGCUGAAUGCAGGAUCACAAUGGCUGACUCCGACUUACUGGCUUUAAUGACUGGUAAAAUGAAUCCUCAGUCGGCUUUCUUUCAGGGCAAAUUGAAAAUCACUGGAAAUAUGGGUCUGGCUAUGAAGUUACAAAAUCUUCAGCUUCAGCCAGCCAAAGCUAAGCUGUGAAGAACUUCCCUUUGACUACUUUUGAAAAUCAAGAUGAAAAAUAUAGAUAUGUAUCCAUAUAUUUCAUUGUCAGAAUUUAGACUGAGACUACAAAUUGGCAAAUUGUGUGAGAUAGAUUUGUUUUUCAAUGGGUAUGACCAAUCCUGUUUUUCCUAUGCUCUGGGUGAAUGGAGCCUGAUGGUGUACUACUGCUUUGCUGAAUUGCAUUCAACUAUGCAUUACAAAGUUAAUAUGGUAAUUAUGGUUUGGGGUAAAAUUGAGUUUCAGAAUAAAAUUAGGAACAGUAAAAUCCAAAAAAUUAUGUAAACAAAAGCUCUUAUUUUGCUUAUCAAGCAUAUUUAAGGAUUAUUCUACUGAAAAUUCAGUUUAAGAGUUUUCCUUGGAGAGAACUAGGGAAGAAACAAUACCAAUAGCCAGUCAGUAAUUAGCGUUAUGCACUUAAUGACCUUAAUCAAUCUCUCAUUAAUAGUUCUUAAAAUUCUGUACCAGGAUUAAAAAAAACCAAAAACUUAAAAAUGUUGCGUUUCCUGCCAUCAGAAACAGUAUUUUCUUCCCAAAUCAAAAUAAAAGAAAUAUGAUCACAGCUUGGGAGGGGGGGAUGUGUAACUGAACACAGGCCUAUUUUUAAAAUAAAAAUAUUUUAAAAUAUUUUAAAAAUGGGUUUCCUUCUUUAAAAAUUAGUGUAUUAAAGUCAUAAAACACUGUUGUUAAAAAAUAACUUAACAAAUAAAGUUUGCUUAGAGAUGCACAGUUUUUAAAUUAUAUCUCAUAUUUAAAUUUAUAAAGCUCUCAGUCUUUUGUUAUAAUUUUCCUUUUUCAUGUGAGUUUAAUUAUCUGCAUUUAUCUUUUUUCCUAGUUUUUCUAAUACUAAUGUUAUUUCUUAUAUUCAGUAAGAUAUGGGAUAAAAUAAUGCUUUUGGAAGAAUGUUUAAUAGAAAAUUAAAAUAGCUCUUCCUGG